AUGGAGAGGGACCCAGGAGAGCAAGGGCCUCUCACUGAGAGGUUUUUGUAUGAGUCUGUGUCACAGUGUUAUGUGUUCGGCGGAGGGACCCAGCUGACCGUCCUAGGUCAGCCCAAGUCUGCACCCUCCGUGUCUCUGUUCCCGCCAUCCGCUGAGGAGCUCGCCAACAACAAGGCCACACUGGUGUGUCUCAUGAGUGACUUCUACCCGGGCAGCGUGACGGUGGCCUGGAAGGCAAAUGGCAGCCCCGUCACCCAGGGCGUGGAGACCACCAAGCCCUCCAAGCAGAGCAACAACAAGUACGCGGCCAGCAGCUACCUGAGCGUGUCCAGCCAAGCCUGGAAGUCCGCCAGCGCCUACAGCUGCCAGGCC